UCCAAUGUGGUGUAGUGGUCAACAUUGCUGUCUUUCAUGACAUUGUCUACGUAACACAGCAGCCCGGGGUUCGAUUCCCCGCAUUGGAA